UUCCCUGUGUUGAGUUUUGGUUCCACUGUUACUGACAAGCACUGCAGGCUGAGACAAUCCAGCAGUGGGAGUCUGAGCUCAGGGAAAGAGAGAAAGGGAAGAGGAAAAAAGGCAUGGGGGAGGGGAGAGUUUUGGACCUUUUAAGAUGUCUGUGGAAAAUGAAUCAUGGGGGCCUGCACAGGGGGAGAUCCAGAGGAGAAACACAUCUGGAUAGGAAGAAUAAAGAAAAGAAUAGGAUUGAAAAAGAGCAGAAAAUGUGCCUUUAUCAGAAUAAAGUAGUAAUGAAAAAAAGAUAAAAGAGGACAAGUAAAUGUAAGUUAAAGUUUACACAGUGACAGAUGAGUAGACAAUGGGGGAAAAAAAGCAGACUGAAUUGUCAUCUGUGAGUUGUAUGCCCUGUUAUUCUAAACUGGAGAUGUCCCUACCUAAACACUGACUUUUCUCCACAACACGCAGGCAGACGCAGGGAAAUGCAAUCCAACGCUGCCAGCUCUCAAUUCCCUGUGGUUGCUGGGGCUUGUCAUGAAGUUUUUUUUUUUUUUUCUCUGUUCACUUUUAGAAAUUGGUUUGAUCCAUGAGCAGCAGACAGCGUCUCAGGAGCCUGACUCGGCCACGUCAUCUCCAGAGGGAGUGGUGAACAAACGUGGAAGAGGAAAGACAGAAGGAAUAGAAGAA